UAUGGCCAUAUCACAUUGAAACACCAGUUCUCAUAUAAUCACUAAAGUUAAACAACAUUGACUCUGGUUAGUACCUAGAUGGGUGACCUCUUGGGAAUAUUGCAUACUGUAA